CGUCAAGUCAUCAUGGCCUUUAUGGCCAGGGCUACACACGUGCUACAAUGGUAGGUACAGAGGGAAGCCAACCGGCGACGGGGAGCCAAUCCCAGAAAGCCUAUCGUAGUCCGGAUCGGAGUCUGCAACUCGACUCCGUGAAGUCGGAAUCGCUAGUAAUCGUAGAUUAGAAUGCUACGGUGAAUCUGUCUCUGACCUUU
rnacentral:rRNA from 1 species